AGGCAGGAUCACAAGGUCUGGA
rnacentral:miRNA from 1 species